UAAUGGGUGAUGGCGUGCCUUUUGUAGAAUGAACCGGCGAGUUACGAUUUGAUGCAAGGUUAAGCAGUAAAUGUGGAGCCGUAGCGAAAGCGAGUCUGAAUAGGGCGUUUAGUAUUUGGUCGUAGACCCGAAACCAGGUGAUCUACCCUUGGUCAGGUUGAAGUUCAGGUAACACUGAAUGGAGGACCGAACCGACUUACGUUGAAAAGUGAGCGGAUGAACUGAGGGUAGCGGAGAAAUUCCAAUCGAACCUGGAGAUAGCUGGUUCUCUCCGAAAUAGCUUUAGGGCUAGCCUCAAGUGAUGAUUAUUGGAGGUAGAGCACUGUUUGGACGAGGGGCCCCUCUCGGGUUACCGAAUUCAGACAAACUCCGAAUGCCAAUUAAUUUAACUUGGGAGUCAGAACAUGGGUGAUAAGGUCCGUGUUCGAAAGGGAAACAGCCCAGACCACCAGCUAAGGUCCCAAAAUAUAUGUUAAGUGGAAAAGGAUGUGGCGUUGCCCAGACAACUAGGAUGUUGGCUUAGAAGCAGCCAUCAUUUAAAGAGUGCGUAAUAGCUCACUAGUCGAGUGACACUGCGCCGAAAAUGUACCGGGGCUAAACAUAUUACCGAAGCUGUGGAUUGUCCUUUGGACAAUGGUAGGAGAGCGUUCUAAGGGCGUUGAAGCAUGAUCGUAAGGACAUGUGGAGCGCUUAGAAGUGAGAAUGCCGGUGUGAGUAGCGAAAGACGGGUGAGAAUCCCGUCCACCGAUUGACUAAGGUUUCCAGAGGAAGGCUCGUCCGCUCUGGGUUAGUCGGGUCCUAAGCUGAGGCCGACAGGCGUAGGCGAUGGAUAACAGGUUGAUAUUCCUGUACCACCUAUAAUCGUUUUAAUCGAUGGGGGGACGCAGUAGGAUAGGCGAAGCGUGCGAUUGGAUUGCACGUCUAAGCAGUAAGGCUGAGUAUUAGGCAAAUCCGGUACUCAUUAAGGCUGAGCUGUGAUGGGGAGAAGACAUUGUGUCUUCGAGUCGUUGAUUUCACACUGCCGAGAAAAGCCUCUAGAUAGAAAAUAGGUGCCCGUACCGCAAACCGACACAGGUAGUCAAGAUGAGAAUUCUAAGGUGAGCGAGCGAACUCUCGUUAAGGAACUCGGCAAAAUGACCCCGUAACUUCGGGAGAAGGGGUGCUCUUUAGGGUUAACGCCCAGAAGAGCCGCAGUGAAUAGGCCCAAGCGACUGUUUAUCAAAAACACAGGUCUCUGCUAAACCGUAAGGUGAUGUAUAGGGGCUGACGCCUGCCCGGUGCUGGAAGGUUAAGAGGAGUGGUUAGCUUCUGCGAAGCUACGAAUCGAAGCCCCAGUAAACGGCGGCCGUAACUAUAACGGUCCUAAGGUAGCGAAAUUCCUUGUCGGGUAAGUUCCGACCCGCACGAAAGGCGUAACGAUUUGGGCACUGUCUCAACGAGAGACUCGGUGAAAUCAUAGUACCUGUGAAGAUGCAGGUUACCCGCGACAGGACGGAAAGACCCCGUGGAGCUUUACUGUAGCCUGAUAUUGAAAUUCGGCACAGCUUGUACAGGAUAGGUAGGAGCCUUUGAAACGUGAGCGCUAGCUUACGUGGAGGCGCUGGUGGGAUACUACCCUAGCUGUGUUGGCUUUCUAACCCGCACCACUUAUCGUGGUGGGAGACAGUGUCAGGCGGGCAGUUUGACUGGGGCGGUCGCCUCCUAAAAGGUAACGGAGGCGCUCAAAGGUUCCCUCAGAAUGGUUGGAAAUCAUUCAUAGAGUGUAAAGGCAUAAGGGAGCUUGACUGCGAGACCUACAAGUCGAGCAGGGUCGAAAGACGGACUUAGUGAUCCGGUGGUUCCGCAUGGAAGGGCCAUCGCUCAACGGAUAAAAGCUACCCCGGGGAUAACAGGCUUAUCUCCCCCAAGAGUUCACAUCGACGGGGAGGUUUGGCACCUCGAUGUCGGCUCAUCGCAUCCUGGGGCUGUAGUCGGUCCCAAGGGUUGGGCUGUUCGCCCAUUAAAGCGGUACGCGAGCUGGGUUCAGAACGUCGUGAGACAGUUCGGUCCCUAUCCGUCGUGGGCGUAGGAAAUUUGAGAGGAGCUGUCCUUAGUACGAGAGGACCGGGAUGGACAUACCUCUGGUGUACCAGUUGUCGUGCCAACGGCAUAGCUGGGUAGCUAUGUGUGGACGGGAUAAGUGCUGAAAGCAUCUAAGCAUGAAGCCCCCCUCAAGAUGAGAUUUCCCAACUUCGGUUAUAAGAUCCCUCAAAGAUGAUGAGGUUAAUAGGUUCGAGGUGGAAGCAUGGUGACAUGUGGAGCUGACGAAUACUAA
rnacentral:rRNA from 1 species